GCCUGGGGAUCUGCCCAGUCGAGGGGGAUAACUACUGGAAACGGUAGCUAAUACCGCAUACGCCCUACGGGGGAAAGCAGGGGACCUUCGGGCCUUGCGCGAUUGGAUGAACCCAGGUGGGAUUAGCUAGUUGGUGAGGUAAUGGCUCACCAAGGCGACGAUCCCUAGCUGGUCUGAGAGGAUGAUCAGCCACACUGGAACUGAGACACGGUCCAGACUCCUACGGGAGGCAGCAGUGGGGAAUAUUGCACAAUGGGGGAAACCCUGAUGCAGCCAUGCCGCGUGUG
rnacentral:rRNA from 1 species